CUUGAUCUUAUGAUGAAAUAUAUUCGGAUGUAAACUCACAGACCUGUUCUGAAUGCGCAAAAUCCUUGUUGAUAUUUCCGUUGCCUUCCUUCUGAUCAUGAUCAA
rnacentral:snoRNA from 1 species